AUGGGCAUCCACAACUACAGCAAAAACAAAGAAAGGAGCCAUAACGAUGAUAUCCAGGUGGCGAGCAAUGCUGACAAACAGGCUCAUCAUAAUGCACUGGAACAAAAACGCAGGGACCACAUCAAAGACAGCUUUCAUAGUUUGCAGGACUCGGUCCCAUCACUCCAAGGAGAGAAGGCAUCUGGUGCCCAAAUCCUAGACAAAGCCGCAGAGUAUAUCCAGUAUAUGCGAAGGGAAAACCACAUGCACCAGCAAGAUACUGAUGACCUCAAGCGGCAGAAUGCUCUUCUGGAGCAGCAAGUCCGUGCACUGGAGAAGGCGAGGUCCAGUGCCCAACUGCAGACCAGCUACCCCUGCUCAGACAACAGCCUCUACACCAACCCCAAGGGCAGCACCAUCUCUGCCUUCUAUGGGGGCUCUGACUCCUGCUCAGAGUGAGAGCCUGGAGAGCCCCAAAGUAGGAAGAAACUCCAGAUGGAGGCCAGCUAA